GCGACAGGCCUAACACAUGCAAGUCGAGGGGCGAGCACAAGGAGCAAUCUGAGGUGGCGACCGGCGCACGGGUGAGUACACGUAUGCAACCUGCCUGUAAGCGGGGAAUAACCCGUUGAAAGACGGACUAAUACCGCAUAAUACUAAAUUACUGCAUGGUAAUUUAUUUAAACAUUUAUGGCUUACAGAUGGGCAUGCGCAUGAUUAGCUAGUUGGAGAGGUAACGGCUCCCCAAGGCAACGAUCAUUAGGGGUUCUGAGAGGAAGGUCCCCCCACACUGGUACUGAGACACGGACCAGACUCCUACGGGAGGCAGCAGUGAGGAAUAUUGGUCAAUGGACGAGAGUCUGAACCAGCCAAGUCGCGUGCAGGAAGAAUGUCCUAUGGAUUGUAAACUGCUUUUGCAGGGGAAUAAAGUGCAUCACGUGUGAUGUUUUGUAUGUACUCUGCGAAUAAGGAUCGGCUAACUCCGUGCCAGCCGCCGC
rnacentral:rRNA from 1 species